GUUUGCUGAGAUCUGGCUGUUGACAGUUCCUGGUUGGCCCCCAGUUACCCAUGUCAGUUAUCUCUGUUAACAUUUCCAAGAAUCUUUGUAGGACAAUUCUCCACUUGCAAGGUCUUUAAAGUAGAACUCUGGUUUUUUUUUUUUUUCAAGGCAAUUGGCCCAUUGCCAAAAGGUUUUACUGUCUUAAAGCCAGAACUGUCUUUCUGAGAUCUAAUUCCAAGGACUCCUCCACAGCUAAGUGAGAUGCCUCACACCAGUAUUAGGUGAUUCUUUGUGUGGAUGGAACAGAGCAUUUUCAUCUUGUGUUUAAAGCAAUUUGUUGGCUUCGGCUCCUCAGCACUUUCUACACCAGUCUCCCAUUCACAUCCCUAGUAAUGCCUAUGCGAAAAGAAAAAAAAGAAAAAGAAAAAAGAAAGAAAGAGAGAGAGACAUAGAGGGAAACAACACACACUGGGGCCUAUCGGAGGGUGGAAGGUGGAAGGAGAGAGAGGAUCGGGAAAAAAAACUAAUGGACACCAGGCUUAACACCUGGGUGAUGAAAUAAUCUGUACAACAACCCCGCCCUGCUGACAGACAUUUCCCUAUGUAACAAACCUGUACAUCCUGCACAUGUGCCCCUGAGAUUAAAAUAAAAGUCAAAAAAUAAAAAAAAUAAAAUAAGUUGAUUUUAACUCCAAUAUAGAUAACAUCUGUGUUCUGGAUAUAGAAAUUUUAUUGUAAAGAAGAGCAAACAAAUUAAAAUAUCCAUGAAAAGUCUGAGAAUUAAAAGAGAGUGACUUCCCCUUUAAAAUAUUGUAGAGACUUGGAAAUUAAAAUUGUGUUGUGUUGUUUCAUCAUUAGUCUGAAAGACCAAUGGAAUACAACAUUCAAAAAUGGAAUAAAACAUAUGUAAAAAAGUACUGUGCAAUAAAAGCAGGAGUGUAGAAAGAAGAGGCGAAAGCUUGCUGCGUCUCAUUGGGCACUGAAGCUCACAGAAAUAUUAAUAACCUUUACUUAAAAUUAUUAAAUUAUAGUGAAAACUAUCAACACAAAUUAUCAGUUAGGAAGAAAAGCAAUUAUUUGGACUGGUCAACAUAAAGAACAGUAUAUAGUAGGAUUUAUCUUCUCUUAUUAUACUGACUGAUUCUUAUUUUUAAUCUGAUGUUUUUGGUUGCAUUAUUUUCUAUUGGCUAAAUAUUGAAUGAUUAACACAUUUAUAGUAUUUUUCUAACUUCUGUUUUUUAUACACUUUUUAAAAAAUGCAAUAUUUGCUGGGCAUGGUAGCUCUCGCCUGUUAUCCCAGCAUUUUGGGAGGCCAA
rnacentral:lncRNA from 10 species